UAUCUGUCUACUAAAUGUUGUCUAAAGCAAAAUUACAGUUAAAAACACAUUGGCGCGCAUUUUUUGCGGCGUGAGAGCGACUGCUGAAAAGUUUAGCCUGUUGCCUCGUGAAGUGACGUCAAAAUGACGUCACAUUGUCGCGGAAGAUUUGUUGUCACCAGCCAUCUUAGUUCAACUCACUCUGGAUAUAUUACAACCAAGUGAUUGUGCAGCAACGGGAACUGGACAGAUGAUCUGUGAAUUCGGAUAAGCAAGGGGGGAAAUGUUACACGACCAUUCCAGGAGAUAAAAUCAAGAAUGUUGAAUCAUUGAGGAACACACCAAAUAAACCCUGGGCUGUGAAUUAUGUUAACGGAAGUGGAAGUGAACACCAAAGAAAGAAGAUUCUGGCAUUCAAUAAUUUCGAAAAGUGUAUACAUUUUCUAUAAUCUAAAAAUAAUAAAAUGUCAACGCAAA